UACGUAGGGUGCGAGCGUUGUCCGGAAUUACUGGGCGUAAAGAGCUCGUAGGUGGUUUGUCGCGUUGUUCGUGAAAUCUCACGGCUUAACUGUGGGCGUGCGGGCGAUACGGGCAGACUGGAGUACUGCAGGGGAGACUGGAAUUCCUGGUGUAGCGGUGAAAUGCGCAGAUAUCAGGAGGAACACCGGUGGCGAAGGCAGGUCUCUGGGCCGAUACUGACGCUGAGGAGCGAAAGCGUGGGGAGCGAACAGG
rnacentral:rRNA from 1 species